GGUCCCAUCGUCUAGGGGUUAGGACACCGCCCUUUCACGGCGGCGGCAGGGGUUCGAAUCCCCUUGGGACUACCA
rnacentral:tRNA from 3 species